rnacentral:lncRNA from 1 species
ACGCAAUUCAAUUUCGUUGUCCUCCCCCAAAAAUUCCAUUCUUGAAUCCUCAGCUCUUUCUUCCCAGCACAUUGGCACUUCUUCAGUCCCCGAUCCCGUAUGCAAUCGCACACUUGAUCACUCGGCUUCCAAAAACCCUUUCACAAAUCCAAUCGCACUGUCCCACUUGCUGUCAAAUUCCUCAAACACUACGAUGGCGCCUCCUCCUGGACCCUAUUCCGGCACCAGCACCCUCGCUUUAGUAAAUUACAUAUCUCUUCGACGUUUUUUUCCCCAGUAGUAUACGUACAAAGAUAUGCUAAAUUGUAAUGUAUUUCUACGGAUGUCAGGUGGUUCGAGUGUCCGCUUUUUCAUUAGGGCUUAUCUACGGAAACAUGAAACUCAAGAUUAUUAGGGUACUGUAAUUUUAAAUUUUCUGACUGAUCCUUUCGAUUUUAUUUUAUUUUUUAAUUUUUGGUUGCAUUAAAUAGAAAGAAAGAAAUAAGUUUGUGUUGAGCUAUAUUUUGUUCUUAAUUGAUUGGUGGUAUUUCAGUAAUUUUGUUCCACUUUAAGUUUCUUAGGUUAAUUGAUUUUGGGGGUUUAUCUAAGUGGGAAAUGUUGGUUAUAUGUAGAUCAGGUAAUUCAAGCUGAAUUAUUCUGUUUUAAGAUUGGGAUUAUGUUUGCUGUGUUUUUGUUCUGUUUUGUUUGGAUGAAACAAGAUUAAAAGAGCAACGUUGGGAGCUUCAAAGUUGAGAUUUGGGGGAUGGACAAAUUGAAGACAGAAAAUGGAACCAAAGGAUGGCCCUUAGCGUAGGCUGGUGAAAUUGGACUAUGUUACGAUUUUUCUUGGAAUCCAUUAUAAUGAAGGCUAACCAAAUACGUAUUUAGAAUUGCGGGAAAAAGAACAUUUCCAUUUAAUUAUUCGAGGAAGAUCAUUUCAGACUAAUCCCAGAACUUAGAUGGGUAUGCUGUGUUAGGGCCAGAAUAAUGUCUUUGUAAUGCUUGAAGAUCACAGUGCUUUCUGGUCACUGUUUAAUUUUCUCAUUGCAAUUGCAAAUUAUAUUCAGUACUAAAGAGAAUGGUCUCCCUUGUUUUUUGUUGUAAGACCACUUUUUUCCUUGGUCAUGCAUGAUAUUAGCUAAUUAGAAGAUAGACAAACUUUAUGUGCUUGAUUGCCUUAGUUGAUAAUCUUGACUCAGUAAGAAUCUUGGUGCUUCUAUAUGCUAGCAUUUGUCGUACGGUGUUGGUUAACUUUUUGUUUUUUCAAAUUGGUCUAACUGAGAAGUGGUUAUCUUUAUGGGACACGAACUUUGCAACGGAAGACAAUUAUUUUGAAGAUUAUCACAAAUAAUACAAAAAUCUUGCGUCA